rnacentral:rRNA from 1 species
GACGAACGCUGGCGGCGUGCUUAACACAUGCAAGUCGAACGGAAAGGCCCUGCUUUUGUGGGGUUCUCGAGUGGCGAACGGGUGAGUAACACGUGAGUAACCUGCCCUUGACUUUGGGAUAACUUCAGGAAACUGGGGCUAAUACCGGAUAGGAGCUCCUGCUGCAUGGAGGGGGUUGGAAAGUUUCGGCUGUUGGGGAUGGACUCGCGGCUUAUCAGCUUGUUGGUGGGGUAGUGGCUUACCAAGGCUUUGACGGGUAGCCGGCCUGAGAGGGUGACCGGCCACCUUGGGCCUGAGAUACGGCCCAGACUCCUACGUGAGGCAGCGGUGGGAAAUAUUGCCCAGUGAGCGGACGCCUGAUGCAGCAACGCCGCGUGCGGGAUGACGGCCUUCGGGUUGUGAACCGCUUUCGCCUGUGACGAAGCGUGAGUGACGGUAAUGGGUAAAGAAGCACCGGCUAACUACGUG